rnacentral:rRNA from 1 species
GACGAACGCUGGCGGCGUGCUUAACACAUGCAAGUCGAACGGAAAGGCCCUGCUUUUGUGGGGUGCUCGAGUGGCGAACGGGUGAGUAACACGUGAGUAACCUGCCCUUGACUUUGGGAUAACUUCAGGAAACUGGGGCUAAUACCGGAUAGGAGCUCCUGCUGCAUGGUGGGGGUUGGAAAGUUUCGGCGGUUGGGGAUGGACUCGCGGCUUAUCAGCUUGUUGGUGGGGUAGUGGCUUACCAAGGCUUUGACGGGUAGCCGGCCUGAGAGGGUGACCGGCCACAUUGGGACUGAGACACGGCCCAGCCUCCUACGGGAGGCAGCAGUGGGGAAUAUUGCACAAUGGGCGGAAGCAUGAUGCAGCAACGCCGCGUGCGGGAUGACGGCCUUCGGGUUGUAACCCGCUUUCGACUGUGACGAAGCGUGAGUAACGGUAAUGGGUAAAGAAGCACAGUCUAACUACGUG